rnacentral:lncRNA from 1 species
CUGCCCGGUGCCAACCCCCGGGGAGGGGGGGACGCAGCCGCCCGGCCCCGCUGUGCUCGGCCCCCGCCUCGUUUUACGGUCGUGGAGAGGGAGGAAAAAUCCCAAACCAGGUGAGUGCUGCGCUCCUUUUUUUUUUUAUUAUUAUUUUUUAUUAUUAGAAGGAAAAGAUGAAGAACGUGUGGGGUUCGGGGCGGCUUUUCGUUUGGGGUUGUUGAAUUGUCCCCCCUCCUUCCUCCCUUUCAGUGCGUUUGUCCGCAAGGUGUGCGUUGCCCAACGCGGGGAAGCGCUGCCGAGCGGGCAUGGAGAAGAAAAUAAAAUAAAAUAAAAAAGGAAAAAAACCCAGACUGGAGGAGAAAAGCCGAAUUGAAGGAAAAAAUCCGAAUUUAGGGGAAUAAAGCCAAAUGUAGGGGGAGAAAAACAACACAUGACAGAAAUGAUUCGGCCACGGAGCGUUGCGCGUCCCGGGGAGCGCCGGGGCGGGGAUGGGGACGGAGCAGCGCCCCGCGUGCCCCGCACCGCGCGCCGGCGGGGAGCACCGCUAUGCUGUGUGUUACGGGCAGGAGCAGCAGUAUGAGUGCAAGCCUUGCCCUCAGCAGGGAGUGAGAAGCAUGGCAGGAGCUGAUUCCUGCAUUGUGCCAUCAGCUGGCAGGCAGUAGGACAGCUAAAGAUUCAUGGCAGUAGUGGGACCCGCUGGCAGGAGCAUUGGGGAGGACGUGCCCAGCAGUGCUGAGGCUGUUGAAACCAGGAGGCUUGCAUGAAUGCUAGCAGAGCUCGAGUGCUGGGGGUUCGGUAGGCAAUAAAAUCACCUUUUCUAUUACUAGGUGGACUUCCAGUGCUUAAAACCAUCCAUGUGUGUAGACGGAGGCUUGGGCAGAGAUGUGUUGUGCAGCCCAAUCUGGGCUGGUGCUGAGUGUUACAUGACCUAAGGCGGUGUUUUGAUUCACUCUUCAGCUCCUGUGAUUUCAUUUUGCAGCAAGUCACUUAGCUUCCUUCCCUCCCAUCGAUUCUGUCAAUAGCUGACUAACCCUUCAUUUUGCUUUUAAUGGCUCUCUUACAGUGUGAAACAGCUGUUCUGUCAUGUUUGUCAUGCAGUCCUGGUGGCUCAUGGUCAUGAAUUUAUAUGGAGAGAGUUGGGUCAAAUAUUGCUCAGGUGCUAAUAUGUUGAAUUAAUUAGGGCAGAACAGGACUUGAACGUGUCCCUUGUCAGUACUUAAACAGAAUCUGCACCACCUGAAAGUAUGUCACUGUUACAGUAGUUUUAUAACUAAUCUGUGCUGCUAAGCAUUGGCUCUGAAUGUAGGACAAAG